AACCCAUGGAGAUGGCACGGUCUCAAUAAGUCAUGUAUCUCUCCCAUGCGUCAUAAAGAGUUUCUAAAUCCAUCUGUACAAAUGAAGAGAUAUCAUUCCUCAAUUU
rfam:Gossypium arboreum cultivar AKA8401 contig_37699_1, whole genome shotgun sequence.